UGUCUCAAUUUCCACUAGUACCACGUGGUCUUGUCUCAAUUUGUGACAAGACCACGUGGUACUAGUGGAAAUUGUGA
rnacentral:pre_miRNA from 1 species